GUAUGUAUGGUAUGGAUGUAUGGUAUGUAUGUAUGUAUGGUAGGUAUGUAUGGUAUGUAUGGUAUGUAUGUAUGGUAUGUAUGUAUGGUAUGUAUGUAUGUAUGGUAUGUAUGUAUGGUAUGUAUGUAUGGUAUGGUAUGUAUGUAUGGUAUGUAUGUAUGGUAUGUAUGUAUGUAUGGUAUGUAUGUAUGUAUGGUAUGUAUGUAUGGUAUGUAUGGUAUGUAUGUAUGGUAUGUAUGUAAUGUAUGGUAUGUAUGUAUGUAUGUAUGGUAUGUAUGUAUGUAUGGUAUGUAUGGUAUGUAUGGUAUGUAUGUAUGUAUGGUAUGUAUGUAUGUAUGUAUGGUAUGUAUGUAUGGUAUGUAUGUAUGUAUGUAUGUAUGUAUGUAUGGUAUGUAUGGUAUGUAUGUAAUGUAUGGUAUGUAUGUAAUGUAUGGUAGGUAUGUAAUGUAUGUAAGGUAUGUAUGGUAUGUAUGGUAUGGUAUGUAUGUAUGGUAUGGUAUGGAUGUAUGGUAUGGUAUGUAUGUAUGUAUGUAGCGAAUUCAAUUUCAUUUGUAUAGCGCUUUUUACAAUAGACGUUGUCUCAAAGCCGCUUUACAGCAAUAUCAACAUGGUAUACAGUUAUUAAAGGUGCGAAUUUAUCCCAACUGAGCAAGCCACUGAGUGGCGAGGGUGGCAAGGAAAAACUCCUUACUUAGAAAUAUUUCUGAGAUGAAAGAAGGCUAUCCUAGUAAUAUUAUCUACAUGAGGAUCAAAUGAUAGGCUGGAGUCAAUAAUCACUCCAAGGUCUUUAACUGCUGUACAUGAUGAAACAGAAAGACCAUCCAGAGUAACCAUGUGAUCAGAAAGAAUACUUCUAGCUACACGUGGGCCUAAUAA
ensembl:lncRNA